ensembl:lncRNA
UAACGCUUUCCUCCAAGUUUAUGACGCGGCAGUUUGAAAAGAUAUGCUCGAGGAGGAGGUGCAGCCAGAGUUCAUCACUUUCCUCUAUCAGCUGGUGGAGGGAGCAGCAGCUCGGAGCUAUGGGCUAAACGUGGCACGGCUAGCUGAAAUCCCCAGAGCAUCCUCACAUCUGCUGCGCUCAAGUCCAAAGAGCUGGAGGCCAUCGUCGACAGCCGCAGGAAAACUGUGAAGCUGCUCACCGACGCUUGGAAAAUCACUAACAGGGAAUCAUUACACGAGUGGAAAAAAGGCGGACAUUAAGAAGGUGUGCGUGUUUGCGUAUGAUUGUGUGUGAGGAGGUGAUGUGUGCUGAGGUAGUCCCUAUAACCCACACUUUAUUCAAAUCUACACACAAUUGAGUUUUUUUUUGUUUUUGUUUUUUUUUGUACGUUUUCCUUUUUAUGUCUGCACCUUUUUUAUGUCACGAUCACGUGAAAGUUGAGUGUCUCUUGCAGAUUCAAGGUGCUAUGUUAUAGGUACUGAGCAAAAUCUGAAAGUGUAUACAGAACUGCCGAUCGAUGUGAAUUGCUGUUGUGUGAUGAAGCAAAAUC